AAUACCAUUGACUUUAUUAGAGUGUGCCGCGAGAGCUACCAUAAAUUACAGACUCCCUUACGGUUGCCACCUCCUCCCCUCUCACCUCUGCGAAGACCUGGAGGUGGCCAAGACGUGCCAGUGCGGCGGCGCCUGCCUGAGCAGCUUCAUCCAGAUCACGGUGACCAUGAACCUGCACCACGUGGCUCACACCGUGGUCCUGGUGGACAACAUGGGAGGCACGGAAGCGCCCAUUGUCUGCUAUUUCUGCUCUCUGGACUGCUACUCCGAGUUCCUGGACGACACCUACCUGCAGGGCAGCUGCGACUACUGACGGGGCAGGGGCUCACCCGGGGGGCUCCGUCCCGUGCCGGGGUGCUCGCUGCUCACCUCCCACCCGGUUCUGAGCUCACCUCCCACCCGCUUGGGUGCCGCAGGGGUCAGCCUGGCGGGGAGGGAGCAGCUGUGGCUGCACCCCGGGAUUUCUGUGCUGGGAAUAAAAAGGUGCUGAGCAUCAACCCUCAGGGUGGCCGUGUGCUUGUGCUGGGGCUCCCGGGAGGGACUUGGGGGCAUCCGGGACUGGGGUGUCCCAGGUCCGGGAUGUCCAGGAUCAGGGUGUCCCGGGACUGGGGUGACCGGGAUGGGGGUGUCCAGGAACAGAGGUGUCCCAGAUCUGGGGUGACUGGGAAGGGGGGGACCGGGGUGUCCCGGGUCUGGGGUGACCGGGAUGGGGGUGUCCGGGUCCAGGGUGUCCAGGACCAGGGUGUCCUGGGUCUGGGGUGUCUGGAACUGGGGUGGCCGGGAUGGGGGUGACUGGGACCAGGGGUGUCCAGGACCAGGGUGUCCAGGAUGGGGGUGUCCCGGGUCCGGGAUGUCCAGGACCGGAGUGACCGGGACGGGGGCGUCCGGGACCGGGGUGUCCCGGGUCUGGGAUGUCCAGGACCGGGGAUGUCCCGGGUCCGGGGUGACCGGGACCAGGGUGUCCGGGGCUGGGAUGUCCGGGACCGGGGGUGUCCCGGGUUUGGGGUGUCCAGGUCCGGGAUGUCCAGGACCAGGGUGACCGGGACCAGGGGUGUCCCGAGUCCGGGAUAACCGGGACGGGGAUGUCCAGGACCGGGACUUCCCCGUGUCUUCUCCUCACACCCCCCCAACCCCAAACUCCCCAGGGGGCUCCGGGCAGCGCGUCCCUUUCUCCACGUGCGUUCAGUGCCCUCCGCUCCCGGUGCCUCUCCCGGUGCCUCUCCCGGUUCCGCUGCCCCGCCCGGCUCCCUCCGC
rnacentral:lncRNA from 1 species